UCCCUCCCUUCCCCAGGCCUCAGGCUCUGCCUGCCAAGCGACUCCUUCCUGGAUUCCCCAGGUGCUUCCUGACUUUGCAGUCCUUCAGUCUGAUGCAGGGCCGCUAGGCCCUGGAGUCCAAGGGUCAGGAGGGAGCCUGAAGCUUGUUACCCACGGCUGCGGCUGCGAAACAGUCUGAGUCACCGGCUACAGUUUUCGGGAACCAGCCCCAGCCGGCAGCUGGGUUAGGACAUGAUCCAGAAGCAGGGACCUCCAAUGUGACCUCAUCACCAAAAGUGAUCCGUGCCCUGCCAUCACCCGGAGGAGAAGGCUGCACAUGAAGGUCAAUCUCUACAUUCAGCCUCCUUAGCCCAGGGUUGCCCAAACCCAAGGACUGACUGACUUGUGCACCGUGAAGAUGAAGGGCCUCCUCAGAUGACUGGUACCCAGGGAGUCCCUCAUCCUCCAGCCAUGUAGCAGGGAGUCACACACAGCCUUCACCCUUGAGUCACCCCGCUCAUGGGUGGUCAGUCAGGCCCUGGCCUCAGCUGCAGACGAAGACACGGAUCCCGAGUUCGCAGGCCUGCCCCGGUCGGUGAGCACAAGAGCAGCAGACGGAGGAGGUUGUGCACCCACAGCCCGUGGACGCUGCCUAGAGCCGGGUGAGGUGACAGGCAGGGGCUGGGGAUGAGAGCCCCCUGCCUCUAGCACCCACUGGCAGUCCCCAGACCCCAACUCUGGCCCUCAGAGGUCAGUGGACCUCAGCCCAGGGUCACACUGUUGCCACUGGUUGUUGAGGGGAAGCCAGGUGGCAUCUGUAUCCCACUCAGCUGGCACACGGUGUGGAAAGCGCUCCGUUGGACCUGAGCAGGCACACAAUGGUGUCUGUCGCAUGGUGUCUGCCCAAGUUGGUGUCCAGUGAGGGAAGAAAUCCACGCCAAGGCAGAGAGGGAAGACAUCAGGAAGCAGAGGGCAAGGCUGAGAAGCACAGCCCGCCAAAAUGAUAGGUGUUCCUGGAAGGAAGCUCGGUUUCUCCUCAUCAUCUGAAAGGCUUCCAGCAGAGUCGGAUGUGGAUGUCCUGUGCUCCCGGAGGCUUGCACCUGCCCAGGGCUGCCGGUGGGCAGGAGGGCAAUCCCACCAGACCUGAAGCCCACGGCUGAGCAUCACCAACCAGUCCUGGCCUUUGACCUCUAAGGCCAUCACUUUCUUCUGUCCCAAGUCCAAUGGCCCUUGAGGAAAUCGUGUCCCCAUAGCCCUCUCCAAGACAGAGCCCCUAGGCCAAGCCCCUUGGACCCGAGUGUGUUGUUCCAAAUCCUAGCCCCCUAGGUCAGUGAAACUACUCAGCUCAUAGCAUAAACGGCACCUGCUGUUGUUCAUGGUUCCGUUGGAGCCUCCAGCUCACCCCUGCAUGAUCUGGAAAGCCCCAUCCCUGUCUCUCUCUCCAAACCCCUGCCCCUCAGAGAGUUUCCAAACAAAGGGAAGGCGCUAAAAAGCCCAGUUCCUAAUUCUUGGCUGCUACUGAGCUUCCUUCCCUGAAGUUACCAGCCACCCAAGUCUCCACCUAAGCACUCAGUUUUUUUGUUUUUAUUUUUUUUUAAACCACACUUGGGCAUAAAUCCAGCUCAUGUUGGACACGUCAUCAUCCCUUGCCUACAACCUAUAAAGUCUCCCUGAUUUAGUUUGGGACUGUGACUCCUCUAGCUUUGAUCUCUGGGACCGGAGAACCCACGCAGGGGUUGCUUUGCACAAAUAAACCUGUUGUUACACUUUUUCAA